rnacentral:rRNA from 1 species
UUAAGGAGUAUGUGCUCGCUCUAUCGCUUUUUCUAUUCUCCUUUGUGCACCUAUUGUAGGCUACGAUACAGUCUCAAGGCUGAUCCUUUUUAAGUGCUUCGUUGCAUUUGGUUUGAAGGGCCCUAUGCGGAUUCAUUUGUUGGCUUUCAAUUUGUGUUUGAUGCCUAUGGUCUAUUGCACCCUUUAUAAACUCGUAUAAUCUUAUCUGAAUGUGGUUGUUGUACUAGGUCCUUUGACCUGAUAAAUCUCUAUACAACUUUCAGCAAUGGAUCUCUUGGCUCUGGCAUCGAUGAAGAACGCAGCGAAAUGCGAUAAGUAAUGUGAAUUGCAGAAUUCAGUGAAUCAUCGAAUCUUUGAACGCCCCUUGCACUCCUUUGGUAUUCCGAAGGAGUAUGCCUGUUUGAGUGUCAUUUAAUUUCUCAACCAAUAGACUUUUUUAAGCUUGUUUGACUUUUUAGGUUCUUUGGAUGUGGAGGGUUUCCUGCUGGCUUGAGCAUUCGAGGUCCGGCUCCCUCUUAAAUGCAUUAGUGGAACUCUGCUUCGUAUUCACUUGAGUGUGAUAGUAUAUCUAUCGUCGUCUACAGUGAAUUGAAUAAGUGGUCUGCUUCUAACUGUCUUAGCCUUCAAAGACUAUCUUUUUGACUAUUUGACCUCAAAUCAGGUAGGACUACCCGCUGAACUUAAGCAUAUCAAUAAGCGGAGGAAAAGAA